UACGUAGGGUGCGAGCGUUGUCCGGAAUUAUUGGGCGUAAAGGGCUCGUAGGCGGUUUGUCGCGUCGGGAGUGAAAACCAUGGGCUUAACUCAUGGCUUGCUUUCGAUACGGGCAGACUAGAGGUAUGCAGGGGAGAACGGAAAUUCCUGGUGUAGCGGUGAAAUGCGCAGAUAUCAGGAGGAACACCGGUGGCGAAGGCGGUUCUCUGGGCAUGAUCUGACGCUGAGGAGCGAAAGUGUGGGGAGCGAACAGG
rnacentral:rRNA from 1 species